AGAGUUUGAUCAUGGCUCAGAUUGAACGCUGGCGGCAUGCUUUACACAUGCAAGUCGAGCGGCAGCGCGGGGCAACCCUGGCGGCGAGCGGCGAACGGGUGAGUAAUGCAUCGGAACGUACCCUGGAGUGGGGGAUAACGCCGCGAAAGCGGCGCUAAUACCGCAUAUGCUCUGAGGAGGAAAGUGGGGGACCGCAAGGCCUCACGCUCUGGGAGCGGCCGAUGUCCGAUUAGCUAGUUGGUGGGGUAAAGGCUUACCAAGGCGACGAUCGGUAGCUGGUCUGAGAGGAUGAUCAGCCACACUGGGACUGAGACACGGCCCAGACUCCUACGGGAGGCAGCAGUGGGGAAUUUUGGACAAUGGGGGCAACCCUGAUCCAGCCAUGCCGCGUGAGUGAAGAAGGCCUUCGGGUUGUAAAGCUCUUUUGGUCGGGAAGAAAGCGCCUUGCCUAAUACGCGAGGUGGUUGACGGUACCGGCAGAAUAAGCACCGGCUAACUACGUG
rnacentral:rRNA from 1 species